rnacentral:lncRNA from 10 species
UGGAGGAGGAACACCGAGGAUGGGAACGCAGACUCACAAAAAGUGAAUGACAAAGAGGAUCUCUGUGGUUCCAGAAGGCGGUUGCAACCCCUGCCUUGCAGUAUCUUUGGAAUUUCUGUGGGCAAAGAGUUAGAUGAAGGAUAAAAGGAAGACAAAAACAGGGACAGGGAACCCCAGAGGAAAUGUAAAAACAUGAGCACCUCCUUUGGAAAGGUAAGAUCUGAAAUAAAGUUGAAACAAAAGAAAGGAUCAAGAUGGGAGUAAUUCUGACCACUGAUACACACACAAUUCUGAAAUGUGCUCUACCAUG